UGUGCAUGCAGGGAGAGACUCUCAUUCCAUGGAGCAAAAGAAAAGGAGGAUUCACUGCCUGCACAUUUGUUUUUGCCAUGGCAGCACUAGAGAACAUGGGUUUUGUGGCCAACAUGAUGAGCUUGGUCCAGUACUUUUCCGCCGUAAUGAUUCUUGAUAUUCCCACCGCUGCCAACACUCUCACAAACUUCAUGGGUUCAACUUUCUUGCCCACCCUUAUCGGUGCCUAUAUAUCAGACACAUACUUAAGCAGACUUAAUACAGCUUUGUUUUUUGGAGUACUUGAAGUACUGGCUUUGGCAUUGGUGCAAUUCAAGCUGCUUCAAAACAUUUGCACCCACAACCUUGUCAUGAGUCAAACUGUCUCAAAGGUGGUAUAACAUUCAUGUUCUACAUAUCAUUGUGUAUGUUAGCGUUGGGUUCAGGUGGUGUUAGGGGAGCUCUUCCUGAACUUGGUGGUGACCAAUUUGAUCAGAAGGAUCUAAAGGAAGCAAAGGCUCUCGCAAGCUAUUUCAACAGGCUUUUGCUCUGUAUAACGAUUGGUGCAGCCAUAGGUGUCACAGGCAUUGUGUGGGUUAGCACAAAGAAUAACUGGUACUGGGGUUUUUUCAUAUCAAAUGUGGCUGCCUUUGUCCGCUUUGGUUUUCUUGCCAUUGGUAAGCCUUUCUAUUGUCUCAGAACCCUUGGAGAGAGCCCUAUCGUAAGGAUUACUCAGGUUAUUGUUAUGGCAAUAAAGAACCAGAAAUUAUCAUUGCCAGAGAACCCGGGUGACUUGUAUGAGAUCAAUGAUAAAGAAACAAUUUCCAAUGAGGAACAUAUUGCUCAUACUAAUCAAUUUAGGUUCCUAGACAAGGCCGCAAUUUCUUGUGAAGUCUCAAACCCUGCACCAGGGACUGUUUGCAUGGGGACACAAGUAGAGGAAGUCAAGAUCCUAAUUAGAAUGAUGCCUAUUGUAGGCAGCACCAUCCUAAUGAAUACUUGUUUAGCACAGCUCCAAACAUUCUCGGUAAUACAAGGGAACUUCAUGGAUCGCCAACUUGGCUCCAUUAUGGUUCCUGCACCGUCAAUUCCCAUAACCCCCUUAGUUUUCAUGUCCAUUCUCAUUCCCAUCUAUGACUUGGUCUUUGUUCCUUUCGCACGAAAGAUCACCCACCAUCCAUCAGGCAUCACGCAACUUCAGCGUGUUGGAGUUGGCCUAGUUCUCUCUGCCAUUUCAAUGACUGUAGCUGGCUUUGUGGAAGUUAAGAGAAAGACCCAAUUCCAUAAAGACCCUUUAAAGCCUACAAGUCUCUUUUGGCUCUCCUUCCAAUAUGGCAUUUUUGGAAUUGUAGACAUGUUCACUUUUAUAGGAUUAUUGAAAUUUUUCUACAAGGAAGCACCUGCAGGAAUGAGAUCACUCUUCACCUCAUUAACAGGAUUAUCACCAUCAUUUGGUUACUUUUUGAGUAGUGUCCUUGUAGAUGUCGUAAAUGCUGCCACCAAAAGAAAAACUAAAAGCAAACAAGGAUGGAUAUAUGGGCUUAACUUAAACGACAACAAUUUGGAAUAAUUUUACUGGUUCUUAGCAAUCCUCAGCUGCAUAAAUUUCAUAAUCUACCUGUUGUCGGCUUCAUGGUACAAGUACAAAUCAGAAGAUCCUGACAAUAAGCCAAAACCAAAUGCUUUACAUGGAACACCGCUUAUUAAAAACGAAGGCACUCAAGGAAAUGAAGCAGCCUCCUGACCAAGCAGAGAAUGGUAAAGAAUAAGGGAGCAAGUUGCCGAAGUCCAGCUUACUCAUCAUUUCAUAGACAAGUAUACAGCUAGCUGU